rnacentral:rRNA from 1 species
GACGAACGCUGGCGGCGUGCCUAAUACAUGCAAGUCGAACGCACUCUCGUUUAGAUUGAAGGAGUUUGCUCCUGAUUGAUAAACAUUUGAGUGAGUGGCGGACGGGUGAGUAACACGUGGGUAACCUGCCCUAAAGUGGGGGAUAACAUUUGGAAACAGAUGCUAAUACCGCAUAAAACCUAACACCGCAUGGUGUAGGGUUGAAAGAUGGUUUCGGCUAUCACUUUAGGAUGGACCCGCGGUGCAUUAGUUAGUUGGUGAGGUAAAGGCUCACCAAGACCGUGAUGCAUAGCCGACCUGAGAGGGUAAUCGGCCACACUGGGACUGAGACACGGCCCAGACUCCUACGGGAGGCAGCAGUAGGGAAUCUUCCACAAUGGACGAAAGUCUGAUGGAGCAACGCCGCGUGAGUGAAGAAGGUUUCGGAUCGUAAAACUCUGUUGUUGGUAGAAGGAAUGUAUCUGAUAGUAACUGACCAGGUAGUGACGGUA